AUGCGAUCGGCAUGUUCUAUCCGUUUCUAGAAGAUGAGGAUGUUUCGCUAAUCGGUGCCGAGGCAGCCGGACAUGGUGUUAAUACGAACAAACACGCCGCCACAAUUACGAAGGGAACACGUGGUGUGCUUCAUGGUACGAUGACGUAUUUGCUUCAGGAUGAGUUCGGACAGAUUACCGAACCGCAUUCGAUUUCUGCUGGUCUGGACUAUCCGGGUGUGGGACCGGAGCACGCAUACUUGCAUGAUAGCGGACGGGCUGCAUAUCAUGCGGUAACGGAUGAGGAAGC
rnacentral:rRNA from 1 species